rnacentral:rRNA from 1 species
GACGAACGCUGGCGGCGUGCUUAACACAUGCAAGUCGAACGGAAAGGCCCUGCUUUUGUGGGGUGCUCGAGUGGCGAACGGGUGAGUAACACGUGAGUAACCUGCCCUUGACUUUGGGAUAACUUCAGGAAACUGGGGCUAAUACCGGAUAGGAGCUCCUGCUGCAUGGUGGGGGUUGGAAAGUUUCGGCGGUUGGGGAUGGACUCGCGGCUUAUCAGCUUGUUGGUGGGGUAGUGGCUUACCAAGGCUUUGACGGGUAGCCGGCCUGAGAGGGUGACCGGCCACACUGGGACUGAGAUACGGCCCAGACUCCUACGGGAGGCAGCAGUGGGGAAUAUUGCACAAUGGGCGGAAGCCUGAUGCAGCAACGCCGCGUGCGGGAUGACGGCCUUCGGGUUGUAAACCGCUUUCGCCUGUGACGAAGCGUGAAUGACGGUAAUGGGUAAAGAAGCACCGGCUAACUACGUG